AGUCAAUCACGUAUCCACGCAAACCCUAACCUCUCCAUAACUUCAUCUGUUCUCAAGGUCCGCCGCCUCCCGCUUCCGCCAUCAUUGAUACAAGCACAGUCCAUUUCCUUGCUCCAUUUGUACAUCAAUAAUCACUCUCAAUUAACUAUCCCCACCCACCAUCUCAAAAUUUUUUACAGAUGCCAUGUCCAAUUUUUGGUUUUACUUCCUUGGCUCUCUAAUAGUUUGUAACAGAUUUUAUGGCAAAUGGAAGUAAGAAUUAUGAGGUUCAUUUAUUCUCAGGAAGGAGUCUUGGCCAGUAGUGACAGUCGAGUAUUUAUGCGUAUAGAGUAGUCGUAGAGAUGCCAGACACCACAUGCUUGGUCGCCUCGACUCCAUUUUUGCCAAGGAGCUCUUGAUUGGUCAAAAGUGAUGGUGGUCAGUUGUGACGAAAUAUGCUUUUGUAGUGGACUCGUCCUCCACAAGAUGAAGUACCUACGCUUCCUCCGUAAGAAUGUGAACCCCAAGCCGUCUUAUGACUUGAUCUGCUUCUGGGCUCCUUUCAAGAUUCUCUGGCCACCAUGCACUGGUAUGGAAGUCAACAUUUUCACGAAAUUAUUUAACAAGAUGUAUUUAUCUAUGAAUUUCUAUCUUAAAAAGAAUGCUAGUUGAAAUUUUAUUUAUUUAAUUGCGUUUACAUGUUUAGUUUUUUGAUUGAGGUGUAUUGCUCAUUUGGGUGUUUCUGUUUAUGUGAGGAUUACAAUGCUCGGACUACUGAUAAGACUGGUUAUGUUAUUCCUGUCGAAAUUACAGUAUAUAAAGUGAGUUUUUUCGGUUUUGUAAGUGAAGGGUGUUAGUUUAAUAAAUCUAUUGUAUUGGGUAGGUAGUCUCAGUGUUUGUAACUUUUUUCAGGAUUUGAGUUUCACUUUUAUCUUGAAGACUCCACCUGCUUCAGUCUUGUUGCUGAAAGCCGCAGGUACUCUUGUUUUAUCGUUUUUGGUUCUCUCCAUGUAUGUUAUGAAUUUAUUUUACACUGCUAAUGGUAUUUUUAUCCAAUUUCAUCGCAUUAUACAAAUGCUAAUGGCUUUUUAUUGUAAUUGAAUCAAUGAAUAUCUUCCAGCUUUCAACUUUAUUUGUGUAAAUACGUAUUCCUCAAAGCUCCUGCCCCACCUUUUUUUUGUGUGAUGUAAUAAUCAAUUCAGCCCUUUUUCUGCCUCAAAGCUGCUGCCAAUGCUGUGUUUCUGUUCCUGUAUAUAUAUGUAAUUGAUUUCAACAACAGGCAGCCGUUUCGGGCAGUGCUACGUAAAGAGGGUCUCAUGGCCCUGUUUUCCAGUGCCCCCCUGUUGGCAGGGUGCCGGUGGCCUGGAAAAAACGGGGCCUAUGUGGUCCUAUUUGAGAGGAUUUAUUCCUUUAUUUUUCCUCAACCACCCGAAAUUUUUGACUUGGAAAAGAGACUCCCCAAAAUCAGCCGCCGUUUUUCUUGUGAGUAUAUAUUCUCCGGAGUUUGCUGGAAGAACAGGGGCCCUGACAGGCACCCUGACCGAACCCCACCAAUAGGUGGGGGUCCCUUUUUUUGCGUGGGACCCACCCCCAUGGGUGGGGUUCGGUCAUGGGGCCUGACAGGCCACCUGUUCUUCCAGCAAAAUUCAUUUUCUCCAGCAAACUGCCUGAAAUUCUGCCUGUUUUCUAUUGAAAGAAUGUAUCAAUUCAGCCCCCAAAAAUCUGAUGCCGUUUUCUGUUGUAAUAUAUAAUUUAUUUUAUUUUUUUAUAACUAUGGGUGUCCGGACCAGCUUACAUUUAUCUCGACUAAUUUCACGUGAUCCUAAAGUUUACAGUCGCAUACUCACCUUAGUGACCGGACUUGAAUUAGUGAUCAUUGAGGGAGCAAAUCUAAAUUCUGACCAUUAAACUACCCCUCAAGGUUUUUGUAAUAUAUAAUUACAUUUAGAAAACUUGUAUAUAGCCUAUGACAAAUAAAGAUUUCAUAUUUUACUAGGUAAAUGAAAUAUAACUAAAUAUACUAACAUAAAUCUAAACUAUAUUAAAAAAUACGAACUUCUAAAUAGGAUUCUAAAAUUCAUUUGUAACUGAUAUUAUAUAUGAAUUAUGCUGAUUCCACGUUCCACAUUCAAUGACACUUGCAAAAUAGAUAGGAUUUCAAAUGAAAAUGGGAUGGUAGCCACGUCCAUUUAGAGAAACAAAUCGUACAUCUUCUAGUGAUUCUAUCUAUCAAGAAACGUCUUAUAGGAUUGAGGAUGAGAUUUCCUAUGAGAUAGUAUAUUAAGAUGAAUCAAAAUUAGUCCGUGCUGAUAAACUUAGUCAGUUAUAAGAAUUCUUAAAAUAAGAAAAAAUUAAAAGGGAUCCAGCGUGUAACGUCAAUUCUCGAAUUCGUUAUUCUCAUAAUCAUUCAAAAUACAGAUAGCAAAUGUUACGUGAUAACAAUAGACGAGCAGUGACUUUGGUUGUUUUUAUCCUGAAAUAAUAUUAAACUAUUUCACCCAUGUCGUAAAAACAAGUAUGCAUGACCCAUUCAUAACGACAUGGUAAAUCCAGAAGACAAAAAAUGUUGUGAGCAACGUCCUGAUUAUAAUUUUCACUAAAAUUUCAAAAAUUGAUGUUGCAUGUCUAGGAAACAUUCCAAAAUUAUAUGACAAAAGAAAUACUGGAAUUCUCUCACCCAAAGAGAUAUGAUACAAAAACUUCUACUUGAACUAUGCCAGACUAAAAUAAACAUCAAACAAAUUUUCCAAGUAAGGUUUAAUCAAUAACACCACCCUUCAUCGUCCUGUUGCACCUAACACACGGCAAUAUGAGGUUGAAAUCUAUAUUAUAUGCUUCAAUCAUAUCGGCUGGACCUAAAAGCUCUGUGCCUGCAUUGGCUCAUAAAUGGCUCCGCCCUUGUUUUUCCCCUCCUUUUUAGAAAUCGGAAAAAUUGUCGUUUGCAUAUGAAAUAUAAAGUAUUUCAUACAAUACCAUACAUAUUUUAAAAUUAUAAUUUUCUUGUAGUGACAAUACCAUACAUAUUUUAAAAUUACAAUAUACUAUACAUUUCACAUGAUAUGAACUACCAAGUGCAACUUAGUCCUUAUUUGAUGACCAAGUGCAAUUUAGUCCUUAUUUGAGGACUUCUAAGUGCAAUUUAAAUUUAAUGCUAAUAAUAAAAAGUGUGAUGUGAAUAUAAUUAUCUUAAAUUAUUUCCUUUCUUGGUAGAGUUGAUCACAUUUAAUUGUUAGAUAUUCCCCCAAAUAUCUAGUAACUUAGGAAUAAAACUUGGGCAGAAGUGUUAUCAGAAUUUUUUUUUUUUUUUUUGGGGGUCACCCUGAAAUUUUUAUCUAUCUUGAUUUUGUAUCCAAAAUAUAUAUUUAGUUUAUUUCCCAAGAGGUUUGACUAUUUUAAUUUAGCCUCUGAUUGGCCUCCAUUUUGAUAAUUCUUUUUUUUUUUUUUUAACAAAUUCAUUUUUAAUCACACAUUCUUUCAAUAAUAUAAUUUUAUACAUAUUCCUUCUUUUUCGAGACCGUUUGGACUGCAUGCUCGAUCCCUAUUAGGACAUUUACUUGAUUCCUCCACAUUCAUCUUUGGCAACUUGAAACUUCUUAAGGUAUUGGAAUUUUCAAGCAUGGACUGCAGAUUUUAUAAUUCAACACGAGUAGAGUAUUUGAUUCUCUUAAAGUUCUUGGCAGUCUCUUCUAUACCAUCAUUAAUAGAGAGAUUUGAGAACCUAGAAUUUCUUUUUGUGGAUAAUAGUGAGACUAUUGAAAUAACAUAGAACCUUUUUAUUAUGGUGAAGUUAAGGCAUGUAUUUCAACGGUGGUGCACAAUUCAAUAAAUCUUGGCAUGGGUGAGCAGCUAAGGGAGAGACAUUCCCAGAAAGUAGCCUACAAAGAAUUUAUUUUGUUUCCAUUUAUGAUGAUAAUGAUGAGAAAAUUUUGAGAUACUCACCUACUCUUCAAAGGCUGAAAUGCAAAUUUGCAGUAAUUAUUGAUCUAUUAAAAAACAAUUAUCGCUAUUCUAUCUUGAAUUUCCUUGGUUAGCUGGAAUCCCUCAGCAUAUCUUUUCGUUAGAGUUAUGAUAUGGAUGACUUCUGUUUCGAUUUGACGAGUUUACCCUUGAAUUUGAGAAGGUUGACUCUCAGUGACUUUAAUUUUUCUUUAAAACAAUUGGAGAUAAUUGGAAAACUACUGAGCCCGAGGUUCUCAAGUUAGGGGAUGGUAUCAUUGAGGAAAAUGAAGGUGAAUUCAAAAAACUUAAAUUCUUGGAAUUGGAUGAAGUAGAUAUUGAACAAUGGAAUGCUUGGAACGAUCAUUUUCCUAAACAUGAAAGAUUAUUGUUGCGAAACUGCCAGCUUUUGGAGAUUCCUUUUGACUUAGAGUAUUGUCCGUCUCUACAAAAGAUUGAGUUAUCUAGUAGCAAAAAUCUGUUGAAAACUCUGUUUGGAAGAUUAAAGAAGUGUAAAAUGAUUACAACAAUGAUGUUGAAGUCAUUAUCAACCACUCCUGACAAGAGUUUUCGUUCUGAUUUAUGUAUUUUAGCUUUCAACAAUAUUUUUUUGGAGGUCUCCUCUUAACAUUCAGACUUGGCAUAGUACUCUGUUUUUUACUUCUUGCAUUCUCUGGUGAGAAUGAACAUCAGAGUGCAAGAAAUAAAAACGAAGUAUUAUGCUAUGUUUGAAUGUUGAGAGAAGAGACCUUCAAAAUUUUUUUGUUCAAAGUUAAAAUACGUAAAUCAAAAAGAAAACUCUUGUCAAAAGUGGUAGAUAAUGAUUUCAACAUCAUUGUUGUAAUCAUUUUGUACUUCUUUAAUCUUCCAAGCAGAUUCUUCAACAGAUUUUUUACAACCAUGUACCUCAAAUCUUUUUUAGAGAGACAAUACUCUAAAUCAGAAGGAUUUCCAAAAGCUUGUAGCUUCGCAACACUAACCUUUCAAGUUUGGGAAAAUGAUCGUUCGAGGCAUUCCAUUGCUCUAUUUGUACUUCAUCAAGAUCUAAGAAUUUAAGUUUUUGAAUUCUCCUUCAUUUGCGUCCCAUCUUUUUUUCUCAAUGGUACUAUCACGUAACUUGAGAACCUCGAGUUCAGGUAGUUUUCCAAUUAUUUCCAUUUGUUUCAAACUAAAAUUAAAGUCAAUAAGAGUCAACCUUCUCAAAUUCAAGGGUAAGUUGGUCAAAUCGGGAUUUGGGGUCAUUUAUAGCAUAACUUCGACGGAAAGAUAUGCUGAGAGAUUCCAGCUGACCAAGGAAAUUCAAGAUAUGAUAGCGAUAGUUGUUUUUUGAUGAAUCAAAAAAUACUGCAAAUUUGUAUUUCAGUGUUCGGAGAUUAGGUGAGUAUAUCAAGAUUUUCUUAUCAUUUUCAUCAUAAAUGGAAACAAAAGGAAAUUCUUUGUAGGCUACUUGCUCUAGGCUCUGUGGGAUACAACAAAAUACUGAAGUUACUCGUUCUUGGGUUCCGUCAAGAACCAGCAGGUUGGAACGUCAUCCAAGUUUCACCACAUUACCAGGUGGUCCUGGUCUAUCAGUGUUCCAUCACAUUCAAAGGAAGAGGGUAUUCGUCCGUCAUUUGUAAGCGCUGUGCAAUUCAACACUGAAUCUUCGGGGAAGAUGAACCUGAAGAGGCCUAUUGAAGCUUCAAUAACUGAUCACUGCAACAAAAAAGAAGGUGGUGCUCACAUAAGGGCCAUAGGCAAGUCACAUUACUGUUAGUAAUAUUGAUUACUAAUUUUCAUCACUACAGUAAUAUUUGUUCACACAAUCCCAUCAUAUUUUAUUUUGAAUGUAAGAAACAUCUUUACAUUGUUGAGGCAGUUAUAACUCAAGUCUCUGGUUGAAUAGGAGAUUACAUGCACUGCAACACCUGGUAGUCUGGAGAAGAAAGCCCAUUGAAUAUUUGAUCACUGCGAUGUGAAGGAUAGAUGCUUUGUACGUUGAUAACUCAGGUCGGCCGACUGUGAGAGAUAGAAUCGUGUGCAGCGAUGUAGAGGCUCUCUCUUAUGUUGUUCCUUGUCUUAUGGUGAAGAUAAAUGCAUGGCACCCCAAGACAAUCGACGGCAUUAAAUGGCAAACCACUUGAUCUGAAGAUUGUGACUGACAUACCACAAGAUGAUCAUGGGUCAGUACUUUGUCUAAUCUAUUUCUGUGAUGUUGGAAUAUUUAUCUUAUUGAUUCACGGAAAUGAACUAGGAUAUCUUUUUCUUUCUUUUAUUUUCCCCUAGGUGAGUAAUACUUAGUAACAUACAAAGUUCUUAAUUGGUACAGUGAGGUAGUUAAAUAAAUAAAUUUUAUACAAGAUAUGCAUAACCAUAAAUCUGGGAUGAUGAGUGUCUUGCAUUGAGGGUAAAGUUUGAUAUUUUGCGGAAAAUGAUGAAACAUCAUCCCGAUGCAAACCUGCGUAGAAACGAUGACUACAGAACUCACAACUAGAUUGAACCAAUCCCAAGAAAGCCAAAUAAAUAAGGUUUUGGAUUUGACCCAAAAAAUAUUGAAUCAAGCAACCAACAAUCAAUUGAUAUAUUUACCUCUUGAUUUCAAGAUUUAAGAAUUUCACUUGAAAUUUUUGAACGCCACAAGAAUCACUUUUGAUAAGUUUGGAAAUUGUUCAAUGAAGAAAAAGGAAAUUUUAAGCAAAUUAGCUUCUCGAGUAAUCUCUCAAUAAUUCAUAUGAAAAGUCUUGUUUUACAAUGAGAAUAAUGAGCCUAUUUAUACUAAAUCCUCAAACAAAGUUUAAAACGGAAUAAAACUCUAGAAACCUAGUUUAAAAAGGAAAAUACGUCCAAAAGAUUAUAAAAUAUCAAAUAAAUUGAAUAUCUAACCAAACUAGGAAAUUCGAUUGCCGCUUAUUUCUAUGUGGCUGCGUAGUUGAUUUCUAUGCGGUCGCAUAGAUGUCCCAAAAUUUGCCCAACAGUUUUCUGCAUCCAUAUGUGUGACAGCACACUCCUUGCCACUAUGUGGUCACAUAGUGGUGAUUUCCAACUUCGUCCUGCGGCCAAGUUACUCCUUGUCUUCCGACCAAUCAUGUGACUUGCUGUUUGGCAUGUUAUCAUUAAUCUCUUGGAUCGCAUAUCUCGCACAAGUGAUUGCUUGUCCUUUAUUGACUAAGUAUGCUCGAACUUGCCCUUGAUCUCUCCUCGCCAAAUACCAAGUUCUUGAUAAUUUGCACCCCCAAGGAUCAUAUCACAUUCUGUCUGAUGUGCUUAUGAUGUGGUCAGUGUAUGUUGCAUUCUAUAAAUACUAAUGCGGUGCCUCUUGUCCAUCUCUUUCAAGUAACACGAUCUAUUUUGUUAUUAUUAAGUAAGAUGUAUUGAAUCAGAUUCAACUUCGUUAAUAGAUUCUCCUUCGACUGCUAAAAUAUGUAAGCUGCAAUAACAAUUUAUUUAUCUAAGAGUACAUUUUUUUUAUUGGUUUCAUAAAUCAAGUUUUUGCACCUUUUUAUUUUAUUUUAUUUUAUUUUUUCUAUUAGGUUUUUUAACAAUUUUGUCUAUGAAUUGUUGUAGACAUGAUUGCGGGCUAUAUGUCAUUAAGUUCACCAAGUUCAUUAUCAACCAAAAAUUCAUGAAAUGGCGACAACUUUGAUCUAAAAGCAUCCAAAUGUAACUUGGGUCUGUCAACUACUCUAGCAUGGCUACUAGAAGAUGAUUGAAGCAUAUAAUACGGAUUUUGACCUCAUAUUGCCAUGUGUUAGGUGCAACAGGACGAUGAAGGGUGUUAUUGAUUAAACCUUGCCCAGAAAGUUUGUUUGGUGUUAAUUUUAGUCUGGCAUAGUUCGAGUAGAAGUUUUUGUAUCCUACUCUUUGUAUGAGAGAAUUUCAGUAUUUCUUGACAUAUAAUUUUGGAAUGUUUCCUAGACAUGCAAUAUCAUUUUUCAAAAUUUCAGUGAAAAUUAUAAUCAGGAGGUUGGUCCACAAUUUUUUUUGUGUCUUCUAGAGUUCCCAUGUCGUUAUUGAUGGUUCAUGCAUAUUUGUUUUUACGACAUGGGUGAAAUAAUUCUACAUCUCAGAACAAAAACAACCAAACUCAUUGCCUUGACUAUUGUUAUCAUGUAACAUUUGC
rnacentral:lncRNA from 1 species